AACGAACGCUGGCGGCAGGCUUAACACAUGCAAGUCGAGCGCCCCGCAAGGGGAGCGGCAGACGGGUGAGUAACGCGUGGGAACGUACCCUUUGCUACGGAAUAGCUCCGGGAAACUGGAAUUAAUACCGUAUGUGCCCUACGGGGGAAAGAUUUAUCGGCAAAGGAUCGGCCCGCGUUGGAUUAGCUAGUUGGUGGGGUAAUGGCCUACCAAGGCGACGAUCCAUAGCUGGUCUGAGAGGAUGAUCAGCCACAUUGGGACUGAAACACGGCCCAAACGCCUACGGGAGGCAGCAGUGGGGAAGAUUGGACAAUGGGCGCAAGCCUGAUCCAGCCAUGCCGCGUGAGUGAUGAAGGCCUUAGGGUUGUAAAGCUCUUUCACCGGAGAAGAUAAUGACGGUAUCCGGAGAAGAAGCCCCGGCUAACUUCGUGCCAGCAGCCGCCGUAACAC
rnacentral:rRNA from 1 species